rnacentral:lncRNA from 1 species
CGAGGAUAUCAUCGGUUCAUCUCAAGGUGGACCCAAAAGCUUUGUCUUGUAAGGUAAGUUACAGCAUGCUCUUUUUCUAAUGGAGUUUUUUUAUUAUUUUUUUUUUCUUUCAUGUUCUUUUUAGCAAUUAUAAAAGAGUUUAUAAUAAAAUUAUGGUAUUAGCACAAUAUAGAAAAUUUUCUAAUACGGUUUAAAAAGGAAUUUUUAUUAGGUUGUAGAAUUGGUAAAAAAUUAGGAAAUAUAAAAAGUAUUAACAUUUUAU